AGGACGAACGCUGGCGGCGUGCUUAACACAUGCAAGUCGAGCGGAAAGGCCCUUCGGGGUACUCGAGCGGCGAACGGGUGAGUAACACGUGAGCAACCUGCCCUUAGCUUCGGGAUAGCUCCGGGAAACCGGAAUUAAUACCGGAUAUGACUAUGGCCGACAUCAGCCAUGGUGGAAAGUUUUUCGGCUAGGGAUGGACUCGCGGCCUAUCAGCUAGUUGGUGAGGUAACGGCUCACCAAGGCGACGACGGGUAGCCGGCCUGAGAGGGCGACCGGCCACACUGGGACUGAGACACGGCCCAGACUCCUACGGGAGGCAGCAGUGGGGAAUAUUGCGCAAUGGGCGAAAGCCUGACGCAGCGACGCCGCGUGGGGGAUGAAUGCCUUCGGGUUGUAAACCCCUUUCAGCAGGGACGAAGCGAAAGUGACGGUACCUGCAGAAGAAGCGCGGCUAACUACGCGCCAGCAGCCGC
rnacentral:rRNA from 1 species